AACCAAAUUUUUUAUAAAACGUUUGGGGUUCAUUUCAAAAAAAAAAAAACAAAAGGGGAAUUGUUUCAAAAAUCACCAAACAUAAGAGUGUUUUAACCAAAAAAAAUCCAAAAAAUUAAAAUAAACCUUAUAAGGAAGUCAACAAAAAGACUCACACGCUGACCCACUCUCCGAAACCGCGUCAAAUUUAAUACCGUUGUAUACCGCCUCAUCAUAACCGACAUACUUACCGCUAUUAUAAAUAAUCUCCUCCCCCCUCCUCCUCAGUCCUCACUGUUUUUUAUGCCCUAAUUUUAUAGGUACGCCUUCUUUCUGUCGUAAUUAAUUUCAUCUCGAUUUCUGAAUUUCCGAUUUGCGUUCUUGCAUCGCUCCUUCAAUUUACGUUUUCGAUUGAUGGUUAUAUUUUAUUCUCGCAUGAUUUGUGAUUGGAAAAUCGGCAAGUUUUCUCAAGUAGUUUCAAGUGAAUUUUGUUUUUCAUGGUUCGAAAUUCUGCGGAUUUCUCUUCGAUUUGCUGAUGAUCAAGUUUCUUUUUCCUCUUUAUGAAAUUCUGCGGAUUUCUCUUCGAUUUGCUGAUGAUCAAGUUUUUUUUCCUCUUUUUGGAGAGUUUGGCGUAUGUUCGUAAUUCGUUUUAUGAUGUUGCAGUAAUUUGAUAAUGUCAUCGAUUUAUCUUUUGUUCUACGCGAUUCUGGAAAAUCAUAAAUUCGAUUAAGAAUGGUAGUUGUUUUUGUUUGCCACGGGAAAUCAUUAUAACACAAUAUGACUCUUGGAUAGUAAUAAAUCAUUAUUUGGAUGAUUGUGGUCGAUAAUGGUGAUUUGUUACUAUUUGAUACUCAUAUCGUGUUACGGUGUAGGUUGUUAUUUUUCUAUUAGCGUUCGUAUUUAUUAAACUAAGCUGUUUUGUGUUGUGCAGUGUUGGAUAUAUAUUUACUGUUGCAGAUUGAUUUUGAUCUGGGUAUCAUAUCUUGUUAACGAGGGUUUAGUUCUGCUACUUUUGCAUAGUCCAUGUUUCAUGUCUGCUAAUUUUUCUCAAAGGUAGUUAAUGUUUUGGAAUUAGUGAUUGAUGUUUAUAUGUGGUAUUGGUUCUGACUUCUGAAUAGCUAUGAGCACUUUGGCGGUUGAUUCUUAUUGCUUGAGUUCUACCCUACCAAUAAGGAUAUAUCUUUUCCCUUGAUUUGUUGCAUCGUUUUUGUUUUUUCUAAUAAUCUAGAAUCACUCUUCGCUCUCUUUUAACUUCCUGUAGUACGUGUCCUGUCAUCCUAUUGUAUUGAUGAUAUUUUUAUUCCAUUUGGUUUGUGUAUGGUGCUGGACUAUUUAUGUAAGAUUUCUUGGAUCAUUUGAAUCACAAUUACUUGCUUUCUUGUAUGCCCAAUAUUGAUGUCCAUUAUGUUCUCCUUGUCUUGCUGGAUUGAAGUUUCGUAGUAAGAAAUGUACUUGAGUUUCUCUUUUUGUUUCAGUUUCCUCGAUCAGGUUUAAUUGUUUGGUGUGCUUGUAGUUUCUCAUAUGUUUUGGUCAAUGACAGCCUUGGUGCUGUCACAGAACCAUGACUUGGUCUUGAAGCAUAUUAUAGAGGUGGACUUGAAGUGUUAACAAUCGACUAUGCUCUUGCAGCAUAUAAUUGGUAGUUGAAGUGAUGUGUGGUACAAGCUGUAAAUGUUUCUCUCACCGCCUGCGUUCAUGUUUCAAGGACUGUUGUGUGAGUUGUGACUUGGAUUAUUUUUAAUGAGCUGAUCAUUUAUUAUUUAGAUUACUUGUUGGGAUUUCUUGUCUUGCAUAGCUUAUGAUAUUUGUCCAUUUGAUAGUGGGUCAAGUUGAUCUUAUGAUUACAGAUCUUUUGCUUAGAUUUCACUUGGCAUAUUUAGUGGUCUUGACUCUUGAGUUGAUGCUACGUGUGGGAUCUUACUGCUUUUAAUUUUACAGGUCUAAGACUUGUGAUUUAAAGGUUUUUUUUAAUCCUGUUACUGUUUGCCCUGGCCAAAUAUACUUGCUCACCUUGACUCUUGAGUUGAUACUACGUGUGGGAUCUUACCGCUUUUGAUUUUACAGGUCUAAGAGUUGUGAUUUAAAGGUUUUUUUUUUUUUUUUUGAUCCUGUUACUGUUUGCCCUGGCCAAAUAUACUUGCUCACCUCUAGAUGUAUGGAUUCAUCCUUUGACUUCAGGUAUGAUAGGAAAUCUGUAAGUAAAUCAUUUUUUUUGGGGCUUGUAUUGGACAAGAUGUAUGGAUUCAUCCUUUGACUUCAGGUAUGAUAGGAAAUCUGUAAGUAAUUCAUUUUUUUUGGGGUUUGUAUUGGACAAAGCUGGAUGUCUCAAAAUUUUGAAUCUUGGACUUGAUUCAUCCUUUUGCGAAAUGUUAUGGAGUCAUACUCAUGCUGUGGGACGCAUAGUUGAAUUCAGGUGUUGGACUUUGCAACAUGGAAUUUACAUGCAAGCUGGAAAUGAGAAUAUUCGUAUCGGUACUGUCCUAGGCUGACAGAUGUGGACUCUGCUAUACUUGGCAAUCUGGCACGACGGGUAUUGAUUCUUGAGCUUUACGAAUUUGCUCGGUCUUAGUGUUGAUGUAUCAUUUUUAGUUGAGGAGAUAUGGGGUACAUUUUUUUGGAACACAUGCUCGGAUUCUUAUUCUUGUGUUCCUUCUGGAAAUGGUUGUCAACUACGAAAUUAUAUGAUUCCAGAUUGUAGGCUUCUUGAUUUUACUCGGCAGGGAAUUCUUUUUUCUUAUGUCGAGGUGCAUGCUUCCUUGAUUUUCGUGAAAAUUCUAAUUGUUCGAAGGCUAUAUUGGGGUGGUUUUUGGCCCGUGCUUUCGCAGUGUGUAUGCUUUUUGUUGGACUUACGUCCUCUUUAUCUUGCGAAAAAGAACAUAAUUGCUCCAGCAUUUAUAUUUAUGCAGCUUAUGGAUGUAUAUAUAUAUAUCUCUGACAUCGUGAUAGUGUGGGUGGGCAAAUGAUUUUUUUUUUCAUUUUAUUUGCCUUUUGCUUUCCAUAAUUUUGUCAUAUGCUUUAAAUUCUGUUGUUGGCUUAUACCAGCAAUUUUUCAGGGUUCAUGUGUCCGUCUAAGUGCAUUUUAAGGUCUUCAGAUUUUUUUUAUCUGUCAGACUCAUAUUUUUCUGUUAAAGAUCGAUGUUGAUUUGGUAGAGAAUUUUGUUGACUAGUCUUCAGUUAUGCUACUUUUUGCACAGUCAACGUUUCAUGUCUGCUAAUUUGUCUCCAAGGUAGUCUAAUGUUCCGGAAUUCUUGUUUGAUGUUUAUAUGUGGUCUUGGUUCUGAAUAGUUAUGAACACUUUGGCAGUUGAUUCUUAAUGCUGAAGCCUGAAGGAGUGGCUGGCCUUCUACCCUACCAAUCAGGAUAUUUCUUCUCCCUUCUGUUGUUCUAGUAAUCUAGAAUCAUUUGUCGCUGUCUCUUUUAAUUUCCUAUAGUACGCGUCAUGUCAUCCUAUUGUAUUGAUAUUAUUAUGUGUUCUGUUUGGUUUGUGUAUGGUGAGUCCAGAUGGUAGAAAUGAGAAAGUAGAAAGAGGGUCGGGGUCUUGGAUCUGCUGGACUAUUUAUGUAAGAUUUCUAUGUUUUUUAAUUUUUAUGGACUUAGGAAGUUAGUGUAGUUAAAUACUAUUGAUUAUUUCGGUCACAAUUACAGGCUUGAUUUCUUGUAUGCACAAUAUUGAUUUCCAUUAUGAUAUUCUCGUCUUGCUGGAUGGAAGUUUCAUAGUAAGAAAUGUACGUCUGUCUCAUGGUACUCUCUUGUCACUUGAAGGGAGGUUACCCUUCUACGUGAGAUUGAGUUUCUCUAUUUGUUUCAGUUUCCUGCAAGACCAGGUUUAAUUGUUUGAUCCACAUGUAGUUUCCCAUAUUUUUUUGGUCAAUGACGGCCUGGUGCUGUCAGUGUCGUGACUUGAAGCAUAUUGCUGGACUUGAAGUGUUAACAAUAUGCAAUUCCUGCUCUUGCAAGUUGCAGCAUAUACUUGGUAAUUGCAGGGAUUUAUUCAUGUUUCUAUGAUUUUGUGACUAGGUUGUUUUUUAUGGGCCGACAACGUCCAUAGACAGGUUCUCUUAAUUUGAAUUCUGCUGUCUGAAGUUGAGCUUGCUAUCUACCAUGUGCUUCAAUCAUGCCUCAGGUUUUGGGUGAGCUACUAGUUUGAGCCUUACUGCAAACUCUUGACAAUAUCAUAUGUUCUAGGUGACUUAAGAGUUUUGACUGUCUCCAAAUACCCCAUGACUAUCGGAUUUCAUUUUUUAUCCAGUGUAUGCAAGUUGUUCUUCUGUUGUCUUGUCUUGCAAAAAAGAAAAAAUGCUCUAGCAUUCAUAUUUAUGCAGUAUAUUGGAUGCAAUGUCUCUGACAUUGUGGUAUAUUGUGGGUGGGAAAUGAUUCUCUCCCUUUCUUUUCCCCUUAAUAUAUGUCAUAUGCUUUAAACUCUGUUGUUGACUUUUACCAGUGUUUUCAGGGUUCAUUUGUCAGUCUAAGUGCCUUGUAAGGUAUUAUGACGCCUCUUGAUGUUUUUCUCUCUGUUCAUUUCCGUUCUUUCAGACUCAUGCUUUUUUUAGUUUUUGUUGGACAAUUGUGUAUUUUGGACAUGAAAUUGCCUGUUGGAAAUUGUUAUCUUUCUAUGACAGCAGGGGGGUUCUCUCUAGUAGUAGAAAUGAUGACGUAGCAAGCAAAUUGUUGUGUGGGAUUUCCAGCUGCGGGAGUUCUUCUUUAAGUUCUGAAUGGCUUUAGAAAACUUAUGUGGAGUUUAGAAGUUAGUGUAAUCAAACACUAUUGUUCAGUUCCUUCACAAUUACAGGCUUACAGCGUUACAGGAUCAACCUCUUGUAUGCUUAGCAUCGAUGUCUGUUAUGUUAUUCUAGCCUUGCUGGAUCGAGCUCGCAUAUUAAAAAGGUGUACGUUUGUUUUAUUGUUGUUGGUUGCCCUCACUUGUAGGGAUGUUAUUUUUCUUUGGAAGAUUGGGUUUCUCAUUCUGUUUCAUUUCUCACAAGAGUUUUUCCAUUAAUUAUUCCAUUUUCAUUGUGAUGCUUGUCUUGGUGCUUUCAUAGCUUCAGAGGUAUAUGAAAUAGCUGCACUUGAAGUACUGCAUAGACCAUGCUCUUACCGUAUAUAGUUGUGAAGUUGUGGGAAUUUGUGGUACAAGGUUUGGAGUCCUAGGUGUUAUAUAUUUUGCUACUUCGAACAUGAAUCCUUUCAGAUUGGUGAUUUAGUUUCUCAAUUUGUUCUAUUUCGUGGUUUCCAGUACUUUUGUGUAACCAGAUGGUUUAUGGACGAAUCGGUUAUUUAUAUAUGAAGUUCUUGUUUAGUGUAAUCAUGUACGAGAUCUGAACUGUUACAUACGGGUAAGCUAAGUCUUCUGGAUACUCUUUCCUUAUUCAAAGAGCAGCAUGUAUCUUUUGGCACAAGUGUUCUCUAAGCUUGAAGUUUGUUGUCUCAACUUAAGUUUGCUAUCUAACAUCAUGACAUAUGUUGUUUGGGUCAUGCCUCAGGUUCAUGAUUAUUUUAUGGGAAUCUACUUUCAAUUGUCCCAUUAGGUGCGAGGUUGUGUUUUGAGGUUAUAGUGUUUUCUAUAUGUAUGCGCUGAAGUAAAUUGUUGGUUUAUCUAUGUUUGGUAGCAAAGUGAAGCAUUUGUGAUUAAGUGUAAAUUGUCGUUUUUUUUGGGUGGCAGCAAAUGUGUUAUGUGGGAUCCUCUUGAAGUUGUUAAGUGAGAGUGGUGGCAGUCUUUAGCCACCUCAUCCUUUCUACUGUUCUAUUUGGAUAGCGAUUACAAAUUAUAGAGUGCUUGUUCGUCUUUUAUUCCAUGUUAACGGUCUGUUCUUCGCUUCUGAUAUCCGAUUGAUUUUUCUGAAGUUUGCUAGUACAUUUAUAUGGUGCUAAUGGAUUCCUGCUUCAUGGUCCGUAUUUGGUCAGUAAUGUGGAAAUAUUUUCUUUGCGGUGUCACUUUGGUGUUCGUACCUGAAGCAGAAGUACAAACUUGAAAUAUGCAUCCAAUAUUCAAAACUAAUAUAGCUAUAUAUCGAAAGAAGCUGAGCAGAAGUAUUCUGUAAUCCACCAGGGUUGAAUCUCAGAAUCACCAUUAUCAUAUGUCAACAAAUGCAAGGAUACACAAUAUGAUAUAUCGGAAGAAGCUGAGCAAGAGUAUUCUGUAAUCCACCAGGGCUGAAUCUCAGAAUCACCAUUAUCAUGUCAACAAAUGUAAGGAUACACAACAUGACACAUGAAACUCAUUAAACUAAAAACGAGGAAGAAUGUUUGGCCAAUUGAUUUUGCUUUCCUCUAGAUAUUAGUGAGCUAUUACUUACGCACUCUUUCAAGGGUGGCUGCUUCUAGGCAAACCUCCUGGCUUUCUCUGCACCCCUACCUCCUUUAUCACUGAGCGGUCAUUUAGGGGCCUUAGCUGGUGAUCCAGGCUGUUCCCUCUUGACGCUGAAGCUUAUCCCCCAUCAUCUCACUGGCCGUUAUUUGGAGGUCAUAUCUAGUAUUACUCGACUUGGUACCGCUCUCGCGGUCCGCACCGAAACAGUGCUUUACCCCUAGAUACGCAGUCAACUGCUGCGCCUCAAUGCAUUUCGUGGAGAACCAGCUAGCUCUAGAUAUGUGGUUUUUGAUUCUGGUUUCGUGAAAUGAUGAGAAAUCUUUAUGUUAAGCAUAUGUUGGGGGCUUGUAUUGGGCCUUUGAUUCUUGAUUCUCGUUGUUUUAGUGUUUAGAAUUUUGCUUUCUUUCGCUGAUUGAUAUUCUCUUGGCUACCACAGUUACUGCUUCUCCUUAUGAUGAAUGUGAAGAUAUAUGCCGUGAGAUUUUUUUGGCGACAGGUUUGGGCUGUUCAGUCUUUCCUAUAGGGUUUUAUUGCAGUUCCUUAUGUUGGACAACGCUGAUGCCACCUUCUUUCUUUACAUUUUAAUUCUCAGGUGUUGUUGGAUUUUGCAUGGCUUGUAUGAAGCUCACAUGCAAGCUGAGAAGUGAGAAGUUAAAAAUUAUUGAUUGUGAUUUUGUACAUACACAUCUUUUUAUGGGAUGGGUCUUCAUAGUGCUUGUUCUCGAAGGACUAGUUUAGCUGGGGCCUGGGUGUCUAGAUCUGACAUCAAUAGAGUUGGGGAUUAGAUGCUGGUUGGAACAAGAUUUCUUCCCCCUGUUCCCUCCAGUAGAUGGCAUCUUCAUCGAGGAUAGUCUGUUGAUUUACAUCUUUCAGAUCUUUGAUUCGACUCAGCUACAUUCCUUUUAUUUCUAUGUUCGAGUUGCUUUUCUUAUAUGAUUUGAUUGAACAACUAAUUAUUUGGCCCAUUUUUUUGUAGUGCAUUUUCUCUGAUAUAGUGUUAACUUUAGUUGGGAAGUUGGUGUGUUAGUCCUCUGCUACAAUCUCUGUUCAGUAGGUACUCUUUAUGUUCCUGUCUGUUGUAUUGGAGUUUCUUUGAUUUAUGAAGAGGAAUAUAUGUUAACAAUUUGUAGUGAACUUUUUCCUUUUUUUUCCAGGGGUGUUAAAGUCAAGUAUUGCUCACUUUCUAUAGGACAUUAUGUAAGCAUAUGCAUUGUGAGAAUCCAUGUAUCUGGAUGAUUUUCCUCCUGGUAAUUCUUUUUGGACUAAUGACUCAUGCAUUGUGAGAAUCCAUUUAUCUGGAGGAUUUUCCUUCUGGUUAUUCUUUUUGGACUAAUGACUGAUGCAUUGUGAGAAUCCAUUUAUCUGGAUGAUUUUCCUUCUGGUAAUUCUUUUUGGACCAAUGAGUGAGAUUUUAUUGGUCAUUGGUGCAUUUUGGAAUAUGAGAUUGUCUUUCAGAUAUUAUUCUAUCUUCAGGAUUGGGAGUUGCAUCAGGAAUGAUGGGAAUGGUGAAAGGGUUGGAAUUUUGGAUUAUCUUGGAUUUCGUAGUUGCAGGAUGGCUUUGGAUUUUUUUUGUAGGAAGUCUGUGUAAUGAAAAUGUGUUAUGUAAAGUAUGCACAAUCCAUUAUGGUAUUCUGGCUUGCUAGAUUGAGCUCUUAUAGCAAGCAGUGCAUGUGUAGUUUGUCUGAGGGUUGUUAGCCGUGGUUGAUUAAAUGCAGGCAUCCUUCUCUGCCGUAAAUAGUUUCUCACUCUGUCUGAAUCUCCUCUAGUAGUUGUUUGAUGUGCAAUAUAUGAACAAGCUGUCAUAGACUAUGUUCUUAUAGCAUAUGCUGGGUAUGUUCUUAUAGCAUAUGCUGGGUAGUCCGGGACCUUAUGGUAGGUUUGUACUUUGGAGUCUCAUGUUCUAGAUUUUUGUUGGCCACUUUGAACAUGAAGAUCUUUCUAGGUUGGUGUGUGCUAUAGUUUUUCUUUUACAUCAUUACAGUAAUGGUGUAUACUAUGUAUCUGUAUAUGUCUCCAAUGCUGUUGUAUGACCAGGUUAUAUCAUAGGCGAGUUGACUAUUAAUUUUUUAACAGGAAAAGCUGCUCGCUAUGGUGAUUGGAGUUCAUGUGGAGUGUAUGCGUGAGGUUUAUUUGAGAAGGCUAAUUCAUUUAGAUUCUGUAGAUUUACACCCCUCUAACUAAAGACCAACCUGGCUAAUUCAUUUAGAUUCUGUAAAUUUACACCCCUCUAAUUAAAGACCAAACUGGCUAAUUCAUUUACAUUCUGUAGAUUUACACCCCUCUAACUAAAGACCAGGGUGUAUGUUUGGUUGAAAGGUUCUCUUAAGUUUGAAGUUCACUUGUUAACUUCAGUUUGUUAUCUAUGAUGCAGUAUUUGGGUCAUGCCUCAGGUUGAUGAUUUUCUAGAUACUUAUAAUAUUUUUGGAAUAUGAGGUUGAUGUUUUGAGGGUCUCAUGUUUUUCUGUCUAAAUAAGAUUUAGAGUACUUUGGGUAUCUGCAGAGUGUCAUUUUAUCUGUAGUUGGCAGCAAAUGAUAAUGAGUCUUAAGAAAAAGAUGUUAGUCUUCAAGACCGCUAAAUUUGUCCUGCUUCAAUUUCAUAUUGUCAUGUUAACUUUUCAGGGAUUCAAGUGGUUGCAUAUACUUUAGGGUACAUGUUUUUAGGCUCUAUAUUUUGUUUUGAGGCCUACCAACUUAAAGAUGUUCGUCUUCCAGACCGUUAAAUUUGUCCUGCUUCAAUUUCAUAUUGUCAUGUUAACUUUUCAGGGAUUCAAGGGGUUGCAUAUACUUUAGGGUACAUGUUUUCAGGCUCUAUAUUUUGUUUUGAGGCCUACCAACUUGAGCAAAACUUAAUGCAGCUAUAUCGUAUCCCAGCUCCUGCUCUGAGGGCUACAGCUUACUCUCUGCAAAGAAAUAUUUCUAUCAAUAUUGGACUCAUUUUCUUAUUGAGUUCUGAUGUUGAUUGUAUAGGCUUCAUCAAUUUCUAGGGUUAUACAUUUUUAGCAUUGGUUGCAUUAACGUUUUAUGGUUUCUUGUCUAAUGGGACGUCUUGUACAUUCUUCAUUGAUGCUAUACUCUUGAAUUUUCAGUACCAAUUUUAGAUAUGCUCUUGGUACAUUUGGAUUAUAAUUUUUUAUGGCUUUUGGCUUCUCAUGUGUGCAUGCACGACAUUUUUUUGGUUGGUUUUCUGUCAGGAAAAUGUAGGUUGCUUUGCUGAUUGGAAGGAACUUUUUGUAUUAUCUGGCUUUCAAAAUUAGGGUUUACUUUCAUGUCAUAUGGUCUAUAUGCCAUUUCAGAUGUCAUAUUGGUAGGUUGUGUUGGACUUGUACGGUUGCUGAUUUUGUGCUCCUCACUGUAUCGAUAUGGUCUUUGUAGUGUCAUCAACUAUUGGCUGAACGUGAUGGAUUUCGAGUGGUCUUGUGCUGAUUUAAGCUGUCUAUCAUUUCUUUUGGGGAUGAUCUGCUAGUAUAUCAUCAGCUCUUUGGAGAUCUGCUGUACUAAUAUGGAAAUCGAUUUUCUUUUUGAUAUUUCAGCUGAUUCUGGACCUUGCUUUGUGCUUCAUGUUCAUCUCAGAUGAUUUUAGAUUCUUCACACAAAGUUCCAUGUGAAUGUGUCUCAGAUAUGUGUCAUAAUCUUACAGUUGUUGUCAUGACUAUUGGAAUGAUGUUUUGGAUUUGGCUGGACUUUGCUUGCAAGCUGGUUUGUUCACCAAAGUCAUUUAGUUAUAACUUGUAUAUGCCGUAUAUUAUCCUUGAAUUCGUUAACAUGUGAUGGUGACAUCGAGCUGCAAUGCUGAUGGAUCAGAAAACUUUGCUCAACUUUUGAAGUAUAUAACUUUGUAUCAGUUUGUAUUUUGAUAUAUUUCUUUAUCGUGCACCAAGUUCAAUCUUCUGCUUGAUGCCCAUGUUGAUCUUGAUGUUACUGAAUGUUUAACUGAGUAUAUGGUGUCGGUGUCUUUCUUUCCCGCUUCUAGCUGUGUUCAUCUUAUGGCUGAUCUCAUUGAUUAGCCUUCACCCAUGUGGCCAUGUUAUGAUUUUGUGACGGGAAGAUUCUUUACUUUGGUAUCUACAUAUUUGGUUCCCGUUUUAGGUUUUGCUUCAGUAGAUAUGUUGUGGUGUACUGCUUAAUUGGGCUUCAGUUAUCUAUGUCCCAGUUUUGGAGGUCCGUCCUGAAUUUAUCUUUUUGCAAAAACUACCAAGUUUACCAUGUUUUUAAUAUAGUCUGGAGUUUGGACUGUGUCUUUCUGCUUCCAGUUCAUAUUUAUAUUACUUUUUGUUUGAUUACUGCCAGCGGCGCAUGUUAUUAGUUGAGGGACUAGAAAAGAGGAGCCUUUUGCUUUUAACUUAUGGAGGAACUGUUUUCUUUUGUGGUUUUUUUUGGUUGCAGAUGUUGUGCUCCUUGAUAUUUGAGGGAGGCUCGAUGGGAAAUAACAGCCUUAGCUCCUUCUAACGUGCUGUUCUCUUCAUUCGUUAAUAGUUCUCCACGACUUCACUCCCUUUUCCACAUGCUUUUGGUUAGUGGUGGAUCCAGCGAAUGAACAAACUGAACCCACACGGAUCCGGGUAAAAAACUGUGAGAAACCAAAAAAUAAAGGAAACUAAAUUGAUGGUAUAUAUAAAGAAACACGCGUGAUAUCUUAUAAUAUGACACUCAGCGUUGAACUUUGGUCUUUUGGGUACUUGUGUUCGCUUAUUCGGGGUCGCGGGUUCGAUCAUUGAAGGAUGUUUUGUUUCAUUGCUUCUUAUCUUCUUUUUCUUUCCUUUUUCUUAUGUUUUGUUUGAUUUCUUUUUUUUUUCUCUUUCCUCUCUUUCUUGAGGGGAAUUGUCUUCCUUUAUCUUAUGUUUAGUUUCUUUUAUUUUUUCUUUGUUCACCAUUUACUUUUUAGCUCUCCUUUUUAUCUAUAGAUCUCUCUCCCACCCGGUACAAAAAUAAUAGAAGGUAAUGGUUAAUGAAUUUGGUUUGAUUUCCAUUCUCUCCCCAUUUCCCUUGGUUAAGCAAUAAAUUAAUCAUGCAUUUAGUCCAAAAAAAAAAAACUAUGUUGAUUACUUGAUUUAGUGCUCAGAUAUAUUUAUGAGUUGUGUUAAAAUGUGAAUGAUAAAUGUUCUAUAUUCUUGUAUGCAUUUUAUAAACUUAAUGUGCAAAUAUUAAUUGGAAGAAUUUGACACAUUACUUCUAAAACAAAUUAUUGACAAAGCUUAAUAUCACCCAAAAUGCGAAGAGCUUAUUAGUGUUAUUGUGUUGAUUCGUUGUCAAUUAGUCAUUUAAGAUUUCAUAUUUGUGCUAAGUUGUUAAUAUAUAUAUAUUUUUUUCAUGUUUCAUAUCAUGGAUGUAUAAUUUUUUUUAAUGUAAUAAAAAAUGGAAUCUCCACUAAGUACAAUUGUUGAAAGCUAUCCUUUUCUUUAGGAAUCGAAUCUCUAGAUAGUAAAAUGUUAUUUAGAAUUUAUAUUCGAACAACUUUGAACCCAUGUGGUUUAGUUCUUGUAUUCGCCACUGCUUUUUGUUGAUACACAAUUAUAAACAACUUGAUUGAUAAGAAAGAUGCUUGGGAAGGAUGUUGUUCAUUCCUUUUUGUUUGUUCCUAUUUCUUUUUGUGUUGCAGCUUGAUUGAUAAGGAAGAGGUUUGGGAAAGGACGUUGUUCAUUCCUUUAUGUUUGUUCCUAUUCCUUUUUGUGUUGGUUGCUAAUAUCUCUACCUACAUUUCUUCUUUCCUUGAUAGUUGAUACUUAUAUUUUUCUGUAUUGAAUAUCGACUCGCACUUCAUUUGUGAUUCUUUGUGGACGUUUGAAUUCUUAUUUCAGCAUAUUAGAAGAACAUACUACAGGUGUAUGCUUUCAUACUAUUUUCGUAUGCUCUCAGUCUUGGGUGACAUAUCUAGUAUUCUUGUAUUUUGAUCUAUGUUGAGUUUGAAAGGUCCCUAGUUUUUAUAUUUAUUGGUUUACUGGUUAAUUGGUCAUAUCCUGAUGUUAAAUUUGUCAGUAGUUUUACUUGGUUGGGCUCUUACCUUGUAUGGCUUCUGGGAAAUCAAUGUCGAUGGUCAACUAGUGAUUUAAGCUCAUAAAUUUCUGGCAUAUUUUUGUGAUUCAUUUUAUGAUGAUGCACGCGAUUAGUUAUUUAUUAGAUAUUCCUUGAGUCUUUUCUUUGGCGCGGACUGAUUACCUUGUAAUUCUAUCUGCUGCAUUAAUUUUGCAGCUUCAUGAUCAUUUUGUCGAUUUUUCUUCUGUUCUACGCGAUUCUGCAUUGUAGCCUUGGAAGUUCUUGAUUAAGGUUGUAGCUGUUUUGUUUUCAUGGGGAAUCAUUGGAGCACAAUACGACUCUUGAAUGGUAACAAAUCGUUAUUUCCAAUGUUUGCUGGGAUGAUUUGAUAAUAAUGAUAUGUUACUAUUCAAUUCUCAUAUCCAAGGGUUUGUGUUGCAUUAGUAACUUCAUCCGUUGACAAAGCUGUUUUCUGUUUCUUUUAUUUGAUUUUUUAUUUUGUUCUUGUUUUUGUGUUAAUUAGUUCUUGUUGUAAAGCAUUUGGUUGCUGCUAAAUCCGUUGGCUCGGGGAUAUAUUGUUGGUAAGAGGUGUCUGCAAGUGUAGAGGGAGUUGUUUGUCCUGUUAGCCUCCAUUUUCUUGGUAUACUCCAUACAUAUGCUCCGUUAGAUUGUUUUUUUCUUGUUGCAGAUUGUUUCUGCUAUGAUGGUGCUCAUUUGUCAAUGAGGCUUCAGUUCUGGUACAUUUGCAUAGUCUUUCAGUCGUCUUAAGGUAUUUAAUGUUUUGGAAUUCACUGUAGUGCUCAUGUCUGGUCUUUGGUUCUAAACAGUUUAUGAGCACUUUGGCAAUUGAUUCCUAUUGCUGAAGAAGUGGAUGUGGUACUGUCAACUGUGUGCCCUACCUUUGUAAGAGCUGGAUAUUUUCUUGUUGCAGAUUGUUUCUGUUAUGAUGGUGUUCAUUUGUCAAUGAGGCUUCAGUUCUGGUACUUGUGCAUAGUCUUUCAGUCAUCUUAAGGUAUUUAAAUUUUCGAAUUCGUGAUAGUGCUCAUGUUUGGUCUUGGUUCUAAACAGUUUAUGAGCACUUUGGCAAUUGAUUCCUAUUGCUGAGGAAGUGGUUGUGGUGCCUUGUGUCCUACCUCUGUAAGAGCUGGAUAUUCUGGUUAGCAAUCAGAAAAUUUGUUUUCCCUUAUGCUGCAUUUUUUGUUUCGGGAUUCGUGGUAGCGCUUAUGUCUGGUUUGGUUCUGAAUAGUUGAUGAGCACUUUGGCAGUUGAUAUCUAUUGCUGAAGAAGUGGUUGUGGUGCCUUUUAUCCUACCUUUGUAAGAGCUGGUUAGCAAUCAGAAAAUUUCUUUUCCCUUAUACUGCAACUUUUUAAUAAUUUAGUACUCCUGUAGUAUGCGAUUUGUCAUCCUAUUGUCGCUGAUGUAGUGGUAUAGACAUAUAAUUUUUCCUUCUUUUUCCUUACCAUUUCUGUCAUAUAUGUAAAGGUAUAUGCUUUAAACUCUGUUGUUUACUUCUACCAUUGUUUUUUAAGGAUCAUGUUACACUAAAAUAGAAUAUCAUGUAAGUGCACCUCACAUCUCUCUUGAUGUUAUGUUCUCUGUUUAUUUCCCUUCUUCAGACUAGGUUUUCUGUGAUGGGGUUUUUUCUAGUAGUAGAAAUGAUCAAGUGACAAGAGGAUUGAAAUUUUGGUGUUGUUUCUACUGUAGUUCUUCAAGAGAUACAGGCUUUAGGGAAAUCAUAUGGAUAUUGGUCGGUUGGGUCAAAGUUACGGCCUUACAGCAUUGUAGUGAGACCAUUUUGCUUUGGGAUGAGCCGGUAUGUAUGAUUAAAUUUCUUGUGGAGUGUGACUAUGUAGUACACUGUACACGAUUUGGACUGUUCCUGUGAGGCUUAUUUGGGUAAGCCAAAUCUUUUGGAUCUUGUAGUUUUACUUUUUCCCUAUUUAAAGACCGGAAUGUAUGUUUGGCAGAUUUGUUCUCUUAAAUUGAAGUUUGCUGUCUUAAGUUGCUAUCUAAAAUGUGGUGGUUGGGUCAUGCCUCAGGUUUGUGAUGAUCUUAUACUUGGUCUGCUCAUGGGGAUGUAGCUUUAUGUGAAUCGAAUCAGGUUCAUGUUCUAACCUUUGUUUGUGGGUCAAUACUCAAUACUGUCUCCACUAAUGUUUUGGUUUUCUUUUGACUCCGAGUAGUCUUCACUGUUAGUUAUUGAUUUUCAGUUUUAUGUUGUGUGUUUGUCGUAUUAAAUCCUCGGAUUCAUCGACAUGAGAGUGGUUACUGGUGUUAUUUUGUUUCUGCUUCUGAUUCUCGGGUAUAUAACUAUUUUAGUGUUUGAAUAUCUCAUGCAUAUUCCAAGUUUUUUCUGCUUUAGGGGUGUGUGUUGAUUUUAACGUUACUGGUUGUCUCAUCUAUCAUGCAUAUUCCAAGUUUUUCCUGCUUUAGGUGUGUUGAUUUUAACGUUACUGGUUGUCUCAUCUAUCAUGCAUAUUCCAAGUUUUCCUGUUUUAGGGGUGUUGAUUUUAACGUGACUGGAUGUUUACUGGUGUUUUGGUGCUGCCAUCUCUCUUUCGACUCCAGGUAUUGUGCUUAUCUUAUGGUUGAGGUCAUUGGUCAGCUUCUCACCUGCUGUGAUUUUGCGAUGUAAAUAUUUUCUUUUCUUCUUUGCAGAUAUAUUUCACCUUUUCAGUUUUAGUUAAGCAGGUUCCUUCUUGAAAAAACAAAUUUGAAUGUGAUGCUAUGAUGGUGGUAUUACAAACUGAGCUUUUGCUUAUCCAUAUUUAGCUCUUGGUUUUGUCCUGAAUUGGUGUGUGCAGGCACAUGCCGUGUUAUGGAGUUGGACUUUUCCUACUUCCAAAAUUCCGAACCCAAUCGUUUCUGUGCUACUGAAGCCUAAUUGGCUGGAUCGGGAGGUUUUUCUGAUUCAGAAAUAUGUCGUUUCACUGCGUAAACCCUUCCUGCUUCAUGUUACAUGAUGUUUAGUUUAGUCACAGGAAAGUUGGCCGACUUUCUUUGUGUUUACAAUGGCUUAUAUAUACUACGUUAUUACUUAUCUUGCUAGACGAAAUGUAUGUGUAGUCUGUCUCUUGGUUGCUAGUUGUGGUCACUUAAUGGACAAGCCCUGCUCUGCUCUAUCUCAACUUCUUUUAAGACUAGGUUAGCUGUUUAUCUGCAUCAUCAUGGGUGGUGCUUACAGCAUAUAUUGUGUACUUCGGGAAAUUGUGGUGUGAGGUUCGAAGUCCUAUGUUCUGGAUAUCUGUUGGCUACUUUGUACAUAUGUUGUUUGAUGGGAGUGAUUUGGAGCUGUUAUGAUCAUUUAAUUUUGAUUUUUAUAGAUUUACUCCUCACCUGUGAAA